rnacentral:rRNA from 13 species
AUGGAGAGUUUGAUCCUGGCUCAGGACGAACGCUGGCGGCGUGCUUAACACAUGCAAGUCGAGCGGUAAGGCCCUUUCGGGGGUACACGAGCGGCGAACGGGUGAGUAACACGUGGGUGACCUGCCCUCCACUCUGGGAUAAGCCCGGGAAACUGGGUCUAAUACCGGAUAGGACCACUGAUCGCAUGGUUGGUGGUGGAAAGUUUUUUCGGUGGGGGAUGGGCCCGCGGCCUAUCAGCUUGUUGGUGGGGUGAUGGCCUACCAAGGCGGUGACGGGUAGCCGGCCUGAGAGGGCGACCGGCCACACUGGGACUGAGACACGGCCCAGACUCCUACGGGAGGCAGCAGUAGGGAAUAUUGGUCAAUGGGCGAGAGCCUGACCCAGCCAUGCCGCGUGCAGGAUGACGGCCUUCUGGGUUGUAAACUGCUUUUCUACAGGAAGAAAAUGCCCUUGCGAGGGAAAUUGCCGGUAUUGUAGGAAUAAGCACCGGCUAACUCCGUGCCAGCAGCCGCGGUAAUAC